UACGUAGGGGCAAGCGUUGUCCGGAUUUAUUGGGCGUAAAGAGCGUGUAGGCGGUUCGGUAGGUCCGUUGUGAAAACUCGAGCUCAACCUCGAGACGCCGAUGGAAACCCUCGAACUAGAGUCCGGAAGAGGAGAGUGGAAUUCCUGGUGUAGCGGUGAAAUGCGCAGAUAUCAGGAAGAACACCCGUGGCUAAGGCGGCUCUCUAGUACGGUACUGACGCUGAGACGCGAAAGCGUGGGGAGCGAACAGG
rnacentral:rRNA from 1 species